rnacentral:tRNA from 1 species
GCCUGCGGUGGCUCAGAUGGAUAGAGCGUCUGCCAUGUAAGCAGGAGAUCCUGGGUUCGAGUCCCGGUCGGGGCA